UACGCAGGAUGCAAGCGUUAUCCGGAAUGAUUGGGCGUAAAGCGUCCGCAGGUGGCUAUGUAGGUCUGCUGUUAAAGAGUGAGGCUCAACCUCAUAAGAGCAGUGGAAACUACAUGGCUAGAGUGCGUUCGGGGCAGAGGGAAUUCCUGGUGUAGCGGUGAAAUGCGUAGAUAUCAGGAAGAACACCGGUGGCGAAAGCGCGUGACUGGGCCACAACUGACGCUGAGGAACGAAAGCCAGGGGAGCAAAAGGG
rnacentral:rRNA from 1 species